rnacentral:rRNA from 1 species
CCCUUAGAUGUCCUGGGCCGCACGCGCGCUACACUGAGUGUCUGAGAUACGAGUCUGCCUGGUCCGGCAAGGUCUAGGUAAUCGCUAAAAGACACAUCAUGCUUGGGAUAGAUGAUUGCAAUUCUUCAUCUUCAACGAGGAAUGCCUAGUAAACGCAAGUCAUCAGCUUGCAUUGAUUACGUCCCUGCCCUUUGUACACACCGCCCGUCGCUCCUACCGAUUGAAUGAUCCGAUGAAUACCAUGGAUUGAGAGUACGAAUAGGUUCGCUUAUUUCUGCUUCUCGAGAAGUGGAGUAAAUCUUAUCAUUUAGAGGAAGGAGAAGUCGUAACA